UUGGAGGGCAAGUCUGGUGCCAGCAGCCGCGGUAAUUCCAGCUCCAAUAGCGUAUAUUAAAGUUGUUGCAGUUAAAAAGCUCGUAGUUGAAUUUCGGGAUCAGUUGGUCGGUCGUGCCUCGGUACGUACUGGUCAAAUUGAUUCCUACCUUCUGACGAACCACGAUGUCAUUAAUUUGGUGUCGCGGGAAAUCAGGACUGUUACUUUGAAAAAAUUAGAGUGUUUAAAGCAGGCUCGCGCUUGAAUACAUUAGCAUGGAAUAAUGAAAUAGGACGUUUGAUUCUAUUUUGUUGGUUUCUAGGAUCGACGUAAUGAUUAAUAGGGAUAGUUGGGGGCAUUAGUAUUCAAUUGUCAGAGGUGAAAUUCUUGGAUUUAUUGAAGACUAACUACUGCGAAAGCAUUUGCCAAGGAUGUUUUCAUUAAUCAAGAACGAAAGUUAGGGGAUCGAAGACGAUCAGAUACCGUCGUAGUCUUAACCAUAAACUAUGCCGACUAGGGAUCGGAUGAUGUUAAUUUUUUAAUGACUCAUUCGGCGCCUUACGGGAAACCAAAGUGUUUGGGUUC
rnacentral:rRNA from 2 species